UUAAUUAUAUUAUAUUAAUCUAAUUAUUUUAUGAUGAAUGUAAUAUAUAAAAGUAGUGAAAUAAGUCAUGGGACUCGUAAGUUCUUAUGAGUAGUUGCCUUGUCCAAUGAUAUUUAUCUGUUGACUAUUGUUAUUAUAUAUUAAUGCAUUCGAUAUGUAUGUAUAAAAUAAUUGUGAAUAUUUUAAUGGGUGAAGUUUGGUUAGGGG
rnacentral:lncRNA from 1 species